GAUGAACGCUAGCUACAGGCUUAACACAUGCAAGUCGAGGGGUAACGAGAGGAAAGCUUGCUUUCCUUGUCGACGACCGGCGCACGGGUGAGUAACGCGUAUCCAACCUGCCCCCAACUAGGGAAUAACCUUGCGAAAGUAAGACUAAUACCCUAUAAUUUCCUCAGAUGUCAUCUGACGAGGAAUAAAGAUUUAUCGGUUGUGGAUGGGGAUGCGUCUGAUUAGCUUGUUGGCGGGGUAACGGCCCACCAAGGCAACGAUCAGUAGGGGUUCUGAGAGGAAGGUCCCCCACAUUGGAACUGAGACACGGUCCAAACUCCUACGGGAGGCAGCAGUGAGGAAUAUUGGUCAAUGGGCGGAAGCCUGAACCAGCCAAGUAGCGUGCAGGAUGAUGGCCCUAUGGGUUGUAAACUGCUUUUAUACAGGAAUAAAGUUAGCCACGUGUGGUUAUUUGUAGGUACUGUAUGAAUAAGGACCGGCUAAUUCCGUGCCAGCCGCCGCGGUAA
rnacentral:rRNA from 1 species